rnacentral:lncRNA from 10 species
GGUUUUAAUCAUACAAGGAGAGUGGCAGAAGAACAGAAAGAUUGAAACCAAGGACAGAGAACACCUGAAAUUGGUAAGGAAGAAAACAACCAAAGGUAGUAUUUCACUAAGAAAAACAUCUUAAUUUUUCCUAGCCCUGGUCUUGGCUGUUACAUAGUGGGAUAGCUCGAUGUGCAUACAGCGUGGUUGGCAGUAGAAAGAUCAAUAGAGGAGUUUAUAGGGUUUACGAAGACCUGGAUUCUAAUCCUGCCUCAGCUAUUUAUGAGGAAUGGCUUCAAAUGUUCAGUGGAAGUGAACAAGUUCUUGUAUUGUUUUCUCCUAUUCUCCUUCCAGCUUCAGGGUCAUAUGUCACAGCGCUGGGCAUUUCAUUUGGGUAUCUAUCAUCAUUCCCAUUCUGCAAUGAGGAAAUGCUGUCAGAGUGAUUAAGUAAUUUGCCCAUGGUCUCACAUAGAAGCCUGUCUUCUCCAGGGAACACAGCACUCAGAAUCGUCUCGGCCCCUGCAUAAGCCUGCAUGAGCCUGGGCUCUGGGGACCCAUCCUGGUGCAUCAUUCGUUGGCUCUGUGACAAUGGGCACAUCGUUUAACCUCUCUUGGCUUCAUUCUCCUUACUGGAAUGAUGGAGAGAGUUUUGCCUAUUUCAGAGGCUUGCUCUUCUAUACGUGAGCCUAUAAGUAACUUGUCUUAAGAAUUUCCACUCCUUCUGUACUCUGAUUUAAAUUUGAAGGCAUCAAAACAAAAACAAUCAAGAUUUCAGAUUCCAAAUACUUUCAUUUUCAUUUUUUAUUUUGAUUAGAAUUUCUUCUGAAUGAAUUUCUGUUUUGUAAUUUUAGCAUUGCCCUGAGGGGGGGAAAAGGCAGUUUAUCACCAUGCAGUAUAUUUUUCAGACAGCCUCUCUUUGACAAACUGAUUUUUGUCAGUCUCAACUGACUCACCAAUUCCAAAUCCCAGGGCUUCCCUGGGAAACUUCCUUGGAUCAUGGCUCUGCCACACAGGACCGACAUCCCAGAGGCCAAAGCAACCUGCUAUAAACUGAGAUCAUUGCUCAGCAAGCUGGUACCACAUGCAAGGAGUCUCAAGAGCUAACAGGAAAUGAUUCAAGACCAGAAUUACCCAGAACAAGUGUGUUAGCUUCCUCUGCGCAUGGGAUAAUAAGGAGCUUGCAUCACCAACCUUCCGUGAA